ACUCAAAGGAAUAGACGGGGACCCGCACAAGCGGUGGAUUAUGUGGAUUAAUUCGAUGCAACGCGAAAAACCUUACCUACCCUUGACAUGUCCUGAAGCCUGGAGAGAUCCGGGUGUGCCCGAAAGGGAACGGGAACACAGGUGCUGCAUGGCUGUCGUCAGCUCGUGUCGUGAGAUGUUGGGUUAAGUCCCGCAACGAGCGCAACCCUUGCCAUUAGUUGCUACAUUCAGUUGGGCACUCUAAUGGGACUGCCGGUGACAAACCGGAGGAAGGUGGGGAUGACGUCAAGUCCUCAUGGCCCUUAUGGGUAGGGCUUCACACGUAAUACAAUGGUCGGUACAGAGGGUUGCCAAAGCGCGAGCUGGAGCCAAUCCCAGAAAGCCGAUCGUAGUCCGGAUUGCAGUCUGCAACUCGACUGCAUGAAGUCGGAAUCGCUAGUAAUCGCGGAUCAGCAUGUCGCGGUGAAUACGUUCCCGGGUCUUGUACACACCGCCCGU
rnacentral:rRNA from 1 species